GUUGAUGCAAUCCACCCAAGGAUUGUUCCUAGCUGGCUUCUUCACCUUCCUCAUUGCCUUCCAAACCACACUGUUACACUUAAAACCCGAUCCGAACGCAAUCUGCCAAACCCUAUCACCUCUACGAACACUUUCCUUGGCCUCCAAGUAAGCUAGCUCGUACCAGAUUCCACUGCUAGAAGUGUUUCCAAACCUGUGUAAAGUCAUCCUAGAAGCCUCCAUGUUCUCUUCACUCAAGCCUAGAUUCUUCUGAAGCUCCUCAAGCACUGUUUUGCUUGCUGCGUGGAAGCAGAAGUGCUCGAAGGCAAGCUUGUAGUCCGGAAUGUAUGGCUUGGAAAUAUCAGAGGAGGAUGACUUGGCUCCGUUAGUUUUGGCGGUGGCAGAGGAAGAGGAGGUGGUUGUUUUGGCGGCGGGUGAGAAAGUUCGGCGGAGCAAAGCGGCAAAGAAGAGAAGCUGCUCGGAGAAAGGGAGGACGAGAGGGCCUAAAGUAGUGAUGUUGGUCUUAAGAGCUUCACCUCCAACUUCCAUUAGGUCUCUGCUUAUCUUCAAUCCCUUGAAUCCUUGUUCAUCUUCUUCCUGGUACACACUCCUAAAACCAUACACAACUUACGACGUUAUGAACUUGUAACAACCAAGCCAAAAGGUCAAUUUCCUGGUUAUAAAAAAAAUAUCAAAACCUGAAGCUACGAUCGUCGGCAGCUUUAUGAGUCCGGACAAUGUGCUCGAGGCGGUACUUAGCGUGGCGGAAGUCACGGCGCCGAUUAGAGAGCAUAACGGCGGAGCAACCCAUCCUAAAGAAACAAUUAGGUAUAACCAUUGACUUGUCACGUCCGACGUACCAAUUAUAACCAACCAUCUCGGUACUCACAACCACCGCGUAACUAUUCGGGUUAGACUGAAGCAUGUCACGAGCAAGAUCAACGGCUAUGAUUCCAGCAGAGCAGCCCAUUCCUCCAAGAUUGUAACUAAGUAUGUUCCCUCUCAUCCUGUAAUGGUUAAUCACCAUUGCUGAUAGUGACGGAGUUGGGUUAAAGAUGCUGCAGUUAACCACAAGGACACCUACGUCUUUCGGUUUGACACGUGUCUUCUCGAA
rnacentral:lncRNA from 1 species